CAAUAGCGUACAUUAAAGUUGUUGCAGUUAAAAAGCUCGUAGUUGGAUUUCUGGUGGGAGCGAUCGGUCUGGCGCUUAGCGCGAGUACUUGCAUCGUCUCCGGCCAUCCUUGGGGAGAGUCUGUCUGGCAUUAAGUUGUCGGGCAGAGGAUCCUCAUCGUUUACUGUGAAAAAAUUAGAGUGUUCAAAGCAGGCUUAUGCCGUUGAAUAUGUUAGCAUGGAAUAAUAAGAUAGGACUUUGGUACUAUUUUGUUGGUUUGCGCACCAAAGUAAUGAUUAACAGGGACAGUUGGGGGUAUUCGUAUUCCGUUGUCAGAGGUGAAAUUCUUGGAUUUACGGAAGACGAACUACUGCGAAAGCAUUUACCAAGGAUGUUUUCAUUAA
rnacentral:rRNA from 1 species